rnacentral:lncRNA from 1 species
AAUCUCCUGUCAGUGGCAGGAGAAUUGCCCUAUAGCAAUCAGGCUUGAUGCAACUCAGGCUUCCUUAUGGGAUGUUCUGCAUGUUGCUGGUCUGCAUUCCUUCCUAUUCCAUCUAACAUGCUUUCCGAGAUGGCCUUGGACUUCUAGACUCUGCAUUGCGGGGAGCCUUACCCCUCAGCUAACCAGCUCUGGUUACCCUGGCUUUUCUGAUGUAGUCACUGCUCAGCCCCUUGAAAACCACUUUGCUGCCCGUUCCUGCAGCUGCUGCACCACACCUCUGGUGAAUGUAUCCAGCGGCAGCCCUGAGAGGUCUCUCCCUGCCGGCUGGUUUUGGCCUUUGUUGCCUCUGCCACACCCAUGAGUCCAGUGUGAAGUAGAUUUUUGGCAUCUAUCCCAGAUUUAACCUUAAAACUUCCCCCCUUCUCCAUCACAGAGCAUGCUGAGGCCAUUUCUACUCUGGCCUUGAAAGAGUCACAUGCAGAAGCCAAGUCAGGUGGUUCCAACCCCACUGCUGGUCAACACAGCACAUGAGUAUAAACCAGGGACCUGUCGCAAGAGCAGUGGCAGAAAUCAGUUGUUAGUACUGAGACAGAAGAGCUGGGAGCAACAAGGAGACUUGACCGUUUGCGAGGCACUAAGAACUCCAGUGAAGGCACUGGACUUCUUUGAGAAGUCCCAUGAACUGUCCUGACCUCCAAAACCAACAUGAAGGGCGGUGGGGAGCUGUGCAGAUAGUCUGCAAAGGGUGCAGAGAGUCUGGCUUUCAUCAUUGAAUGAAUGAGUGAGUAAAUUUGGAGAUAAUUCCUACCCUGCAGAUUCUUAGUAUUCAGAAAAAUAGUGUAUUUUUCUUAUCAUGAUGAACUGUUCUAGGUUCAACACAAAGAAAUAAGACUUCAAACAGGCUGCAUUUGCUCCAAACAUUGAAAGGGGGAAGUUUACAUAAAGCGAACAAAGACGUAGGGGCACCUGGGUGGCUCAGUUGGUUGAGCGUCCAACUUCGGCUUGGGCCAUUAUCUUGCAGUUGCAGUUCAUGGGUUCAAGCCCCACAUUGGGCUCGCUGUGCUGAAGCUGCUGUCUGUGCAGAGCCCGCUUUGGAUCCUCUGUCCCCCUCUCUCUGCCCCUCUCCUGCUUGUACUCUCUAUCAAAAAUAAAUAAACAAUUGUUUUUAAAAAGACA